GUCGUACGCUUCUUUUUCCACCGGAGCUUGCUCCACCGGAAAAAGAGGAGUGGCGAACGGGUGAGUAACACGUGGGUAACCUGCCCAUCAGAAGGGGAUAACACUUGGAAACAGGUGCUAAUACCGUAUAACAAUCAAAACCGCAUGGUUUUGAUUUGAAAGGCGCUUUCGGGUGUCGCUGAUGGAUGGACCCGCGGUGCAUUAGCUAGUUGGUGAGGUAACGGCUCACCAAGGCCACGAUGCAUAGCCGACCUGAGAGGGUGAUCGGCCACAUUGGGACUGAGACACGGCCCAAACUCCUACGGGAGGCAGCAGUAGGGAAUCUUCGGCAAUGGACGAAAGUCUGACCGAGCAACGCCGCGUGAGUGAAGAAGGUUUUCGGAUCGUAAAACUCUGUUGUUAGAGAAGAACAAGGAUGAGAGUAACUGUUCAUCCCUUGACGGUAUCUAACCAGAAAGCCACGGCUAACUACGUGCCAGCAGCCGCGGUAAUACGUAGGUGGCAAGCGUUGUCCGGAUUUAUUGGGCGUAAAGCGAGCGCAGGCGGUUUCUUAAGUCUGAUGUGAAAGCCCCCGGCUCAACCGGGGAGGGUCAUUGGAAACUGGGAGACUUGAGUGCAGAAGAGGAGAGUGGAAUUCCAUGUGUAGCGGUGAAAUGCGUAGAUAUAUGGAGGAACACCAGUGGCGAA
rnacentral:rRNA from 1 species